UGCGUAGGUGGUGAGGUAAGUCGGAUGUGAAAGCUCGGAGCUCAACUCCGAAAUGGCAUUGGAAACUACCUUGCUCGAGGGUUGGAGGGGGGACCGGGAAUACUUGGUGUAGCAGUGAAAUGCGUAGAUAUCAAGUGGAACACCAGUGGCGAAGGCGAGUCCCUGGACAACUCCUGACACUGAGGCACGAAAGCUAGGGGAGCAAACA
rnacentral:rRNA from 1 species